rnacentral:piRNA from 1 species
UGCUGAGUGAGAAGGAGAUAAACGCA